CGACAAUCCACGUUAUACCUAACCCUAUUUUGCUCUUACAGUUUGUAUACCGUCGUCGUCAGGUAACUUUUAAAAAUUUAGGAGUUAGCAAAAAAGCUGUGUAAGCUUACACGUCAGAUCAAGGUGCAGCCCAUAUUAGGGUGAGGAUGGGUUACAAUUAUAAAAUCAUAACUACGAAAUAAUUAUAGUAAUACAUAAUUAUAAGGAGGACUUGAAAGUAAACUAAAUUAUAAAAACAUUUUGAAUAAGGCUCUGAAACGUGCACACAUCGCCCGUCGCUCUCGUUGAAAAAUGAGAUAAGUCGUAACAUAGCAGGGGUAAUGGAAAUUGCCCCUAAGU
rnacentral:rRNA from 1 species